AUGUAUUCAUCACAUACUAUGUCUUGUUUCAAUAUGCCACCCAUUUAUGAUGAAUAUGAUGAUGAGCAUGUUGAAUUGCCUAGUUGUGAUGCUAUGCUCCACAGGAUAUCAUGUGAAAAUUCUAUUGGUCACGUCAUGUUUGAUAAUCCUUUGAACUUAUCAUAUGCUAUGAGUGAGAUCUCCCAUAUUGCAUCAUUUCAAUCUCAACAUAGUAACUAUGCAUGCCCCAUUAAAAUAAAUCCAAUUUGCACUUAUGGCAUAGAUGACGAGGUGAUGGUCAUUGGCUUUUGUUUCUCUUGUGAUGAUAUUGACAUGCUUCCUUUACAUGAUUUGUGCAAUUCAUCUACUACACCAUGCCAUGAUCACAUAGAACCCAAUAUGCAUUGUUUUGGAUGUUGUCAAUAUUCUCCAUGUGAUGUUUCCACUAAUGCUCAUGAGGAAACCCUCAUAGUUUCCUCAUACAUAUUAGGGGAUUUUGAUGCAUUCCAUAAUUUGCAUAAUUUCCAUGAUUGUGUGCACCAUAUGCAUUCCAUGAAUAACAAUGAUCUACAUAUAUCUCAUGAUGCAUUGCAUCCUUUGAGUCUCCAUUAUGUUAUACAUAACAAGAAACCCAUCAUGAUGGUUGACAUGUUUCUAUAUCACACAUCUCAUUUAUUUGAGCAUUGGAUAUUUGGUGCUAACCAACACAAGCACGUGCGCAUCAUGAUGGAUGAUGUGUACAUAUACCAUGCACACACAAUUUUCCCUUUGUCUUUGUUUUGUGUAGGUACUCAUGUAUACUCGUCAACCUCUCAAUCCCAAGAGUUGACAAAACGAGCUCUUGAGAGCAACGAUUUGGGAUCACGUGGAUUGUCCUUCCCACCGUCCUCUUUGCGCAACGACUACGAUCAUCUCUUUUACUUGUCUCUCACACGGCUAUGGGCUAUUUACCACUUGUCACAUUAUGCCCAUACUAUCGUGUUCACUUUGCAUGUUAUGCCUCUUUACAUGAUUUUGCCAUGCAAUUGUGACCCUUGCUUGCAUAUACCCAUGAUUCACCAUUAUGCUACUUCUAUGUGUAUUUGCAUGCUUGGUGGAGAUACUUGUUGCUAUUGCCAUGUUUACCAUGUGCCACGUGCUAUUGUUGAUUCUUGUGUUGGGAGAGUCAUGAUGUUCCAUUGUUAUUUACAUAUGGUCACUCGCCAAUACAUUGAUGAUAUUUUUCUCAUAUAUUGCUUUCAUGCUUGUGAUAUGUCAUGUGCAUUAUUCAUGCCCACUAUUUUCUCACACGACAUGCUUACCAUGAUUCCCUCUAGUAUGUUGCAUCUUCGCACUACUAGCUUGCUUGACUUGAUCGCUAUGAUAUCUUGCUAUGUUGCAUCACCCAUGUUCCACUCUUACUCGCUUUCUUGGGUUGAUAACAUAUAUGCUCAUGCCUCUCACAUAAUAUAUCUUGCUCAUUGUCACUUGCCUCCAAUAGUUGCAUUUAUGCUUAUUGAUCAUGGAGACUUGGACAUAUUACUUGUGAAGCAUGCUUGUUUACUCGAGCCUCUUGUAUUUGGUUGUUCUUGCAUCAUAUGCCUCCAUACUAUGAAAUGCUCCCUUGUCCUUUCUUAUGAUGAGCAUGAUGCAUACACUUGUUGGGUAUCUUACCACACGAAUGAUAGGUUUUGCAUUUCCGCUAACCUCAUUUGUUUUUCUGAGUGUUUGUCAUGUUCUUUGGUUUUGAAGGAUUCACAAGGCAUCACCGUCAUGAGACAUAUUGGUCAUGUGAAGGCAUACAUGAUGUGCAACUCCAACAUCUUCGGGAACAUUCAUGAGGUGAACUCCUUCCCUUUGAGCCAUCCUCAAAUACGCACAUUGGAUGGGUCAUUCUUUCAUUGUUGUUUCCUUCUUGUUGUCUACAUGAUACAUCUAUUGGAUGGAGAAACGACAUGGGAGAUGGACCCUAUGGACCUUCAAAUUGAGGAGUGCCACGACAUCGAGCUAUGGUACAACAUCACCCAUAACAAAUUUGCAUCUCAUGCAUGGAUUGACUCACAUUAUGCUUGCCUUGUUGCAUCUUGUAUUCCCAUGUCAACCAUGAUAUAUGAGCUUAUGCAUUUCCUUAGCAAAUUUGUCGUGAUCUUCCUUGAUGGCAUAUUCAUACAUCGUGAUCAUAUUGUCCACCAUCAAUUGCAUGACAGCAUACACAUAUUGAGCAUUCAUUGCCAUAUUCACGCUAUCGAUAAACCGUCUCAUUUUGACAUCAUUUUGCACCGUGGUUGUAUUGAUCAUAUUCAAAACACAUUUGUGUGCACAAUGAUUGCAUUUCCUCCCAUGAAUGCUUUGCAUAUCAUUCUAUAUCAUCUUGAUAAGCUUCAUGCGCUUUGUCACAAACAAGCUUGCAGCACUGACUCAUUCUUGCAUGAUGGACACUUUGCAUGCGCUAACCAUUGUAUUUCUGAGUUUCGCUUGUGUUUGCUCAUUUUGCAUGUACCACAUAUCGGAGACACCUUGAAGUAUUUGGAUUGCGCCAUGCCUUCAACUCCGACCAACUACAAGUCCGUCCAUGACCACCCUUUCCAUGGUGAUGAGGAUCAUGAUCCGAGGUCGGAUCUUUCCCGAGGGGGGGGGGGAGAUGAUGCGGAGCAUCCCACAUUCAUACCCAUGUACACUCCGACUACUCUCCAAACCCCAAGAGGACAUAUGACGAGACCUCGAACAUACGCCAUUAGACACAAGGUGAACUCGCUCCUCUCUGAAUUGUCACUUUGCACAUGUGAGACAUGGCUGCUACCUCAAAUAUGUGCUAUGCAUGACCAGGAACCAAUAGGAAGGCCAUGGAACAACUAG
rnacentral:rRNA from 1 species